AACGAACGCUGGCGGCAUGCCUAACACAUGCAAGUCGAACGAUGCUUUCGGGCAUAGUGGCGCACGGGUGCGUAACGCGUGGGAAUCUGCCCUUGGGUUCGGAAUAACAGUUGGAAACGACUGCUAGUACCGGAUGAAGACGAAAGUCCAAAGAUUUAUCGCCUGAGGAUGAGCCCGCGUAAGAUUAGGUAGUUGGUGGGGUAAAGGCCUACCAAGCCGACGAUCUUUAGCUGGUCUGAGAGGAUGAUCAGCCACACUGGGACUGAGACACGGCCCAGACUCCUACGGGAGGCAGCAGUGGGGAAUAUUGGACAAUGGGCGCAAGCCUGAUCCAGCAAUGCCGCGUGAGUGAUGAAGGCCUUAGGGUUGUAAAGCUCUUUUACCCGGGAUGAUAAUGACAGUACCGGGAGAAUAAGCCCCGGCUAACUCCGUGCCAGCAGCCGCCGUAA
rnacentral:rRNA from 1 species